rnacentral:rRNA from 1 species
GAUGAACGCUGGCGGCGUGCCUAAUACAUGCAAGUCGAGCGAACAGAUGAGGAGCUUGCUCCUCUGACGUUAGCGGCGGACGGGUGAGUAACACGUGGAUAACCUACCUAUAAGACUGGGAUAACUUCGGGAAACCGGAGCUAAUACCGGAUAAUAUAUUGAACCGCAUGGUUCAAUAGUGAAAGACGGUUUUGCUGUCACCUAUAGAUGGAUCCGCGCCGCAUUAGCUAGUUGGUAAGGUAACGGCUUACCAAGGCAACGAUGCGUAGCCGACCUGAGAGGGUGAUCGGCCACACUGGAACUGAGACACGGUCCAGACUCCUACGGGAGGCAGCAGUAGGGAAUCUUCCGCAAUGGGCGAAAGCCUGACGGAGCAACGCCGCGUGAGUGAUGAAGGUCUUCGGAUCGUAAAACUCUGUUAUUAGGGAAGAACAAAUGUGUAAGUAACUAUGCACGUCUUGAUGGUACCUAAUCAGAAAGCCACGGCUAACUACGUG